GGAUGUGAGGGCGAUCUGGCUGCGACAUCUGUCACCCCAUUGAUCGCCAGGGUUGAUUCGGCUGAUCUGGCUGGCUAGGCGGGUGUCCCCUUCCUUCCUCACCGCUCCAUGUGCAUCCCUCCCGAAGCUGCGCACUCGGUUGAAGAGGACGGCUUUCCCCGAAUAGAGACUGACCGGUCUCGGUCGAGGGUGUCCGAGUAGCUGCGCUCCCUGUUAGAACCUCCCAACAAGCUCUCAAGGUCCAUAAAAAAAAGAUCUUUGAAAACCAUUUCUAAAGAGACAUUUUCUCUAUUU
ensembl:misc_RNA 7SK 7SK RNA